UUUUGGAAUCUCAGGGAGGUGAGAACCUUGCUCUCAGAGGGUGACUCAAGUCAACACAGGGAACCCCUCUUUUCUACAGACACAGUGGGUCGCAGGAUCUGACAAGAGUCCAGAGCUCCAGGGACUGUGAGGUGAGGCCUUGGUCUAAGGCAGUGUUUUCAGGUCACAGAGCAGAAAGGGCCCAGACAGUGCCAGGAGUCAAGUUCUCAGGGGACAGGGAGAGCAAGAGGUCAAGAGCUGUGGGACACCACAGAGCAGCACUGAAGGAGAAGACCUGUAAGUUGGCCUU
rnacentral:lncRNA from 1 species